GACGAACGCUGGCGGCGUGCCUAAUACAUGCAAGUCGAGCGGACUUGAGGGAGCUUGCUCCCGAGAGUUAGCGGCGGACGGGUGAGUAACACGUGGGCAACCUGCCUGUAAGACUGGGAUAACUUCGGGAAACCGGAGCUAAUACCGGAUAACUUCUUUUCCCGCAUGGGGAGAGGUUGAAAGACGGCUUCGGCUGUCACUUACAGAUGGGCCCGCGGCGCAUUAGCUAGUUGGUGAGGUAACGGCUCACCAAGGCGACGAUGCGUAGCCGACCUGAGAGGGUGAUCGGCCACACUGGGACUGAGACACGGCCCAGACUCCUACGGGAGGCAGCAGUAGGGAAUCUUCCGCAAUGGACGAAAGUCUGACGGAGCAACGCCGCGUGAGUGAAGAAGGUCUUCGGAUCGUAAAACUCUGUUAUCAGGGAAGAACAAGUACCGGAGUAACUGCCGGUACCUUGACGGUACCUGACCAGAAAGCCACGGCUAACUACGUGC
rnacentral:rRNA from 1 species